CUGUUUCUCUUUGAGCAAGAGGGUUGAGAAGUAAAUCCACUCCAAAUUUUGGAAGUUUUCUGGCUUUUGGUGUGGUUGAGGGCACCUUGAUGAAUUAACGGCGUAUGUGACAAAGGUUUCCUAUGAAGAAGGAACGGCAAAUGGGUGAGCAAGGGUUAAAAGCAAGCGCCAGAGGAGGAGAGAGAGAGUGACUGAAGGACUUGGUAAUUAGGCGGUCUGCAACUCACGCCUCAUCAGUAUGCGGAAUAUGCAAAUUAAACGUCUGGGUCUUUCUUUUUUUCGUGGAGGAUCAGAAGGCAAGCGCUGCAGAGAAUUAAGCGCAAUUAUUCAACCCGUGGAAAGGCUGAUGUAUGCAAACAAGGGAUGGAGCGCACAGAUACUAUACAUUGGACUCCAAUGUAAGGACAGUUAGAGAUAAUCACACAAGUACAGUCAUGCCUUCCUCGCACCUGGGAGAUUCUUCUACAUUGGUUCUGGAGGUAAUGAGUGGAAAAAACGGCAAUCGGACAUGCGCCUUCGUUCCCCAUUAUGCCUUUCUUCGCAUAUUGAUGCGCUGCCUCGUGGAUGAUUAUUACCUUUUGGAAUAUCGCACGGCAAAACGAGCCUCGGAAUAAAGGAGCGGGAGGAAAGGAUGGGAAAAAGACAAAAGAGCGGAGGUAUGCAAAGGCGCUAAUGAUAUUCAGAGCGCCGACUGCGUGUCAUCUGCAUGAUGACAACGGCCAAUUACAAUGAACCAUUGGCGCUCUGCCACAGAUAAGUAGGAGAGGAUAUGGGCAACGAGGAGGGGGAAGCAAAACGUACUUCCCUUUCUUCUUAAUGUGCUGCUGAUUUGUCGACUCAACGCCGUGGAUUUACAAUAACGAUGAAUGUGAGGAAGAAGAAGAAAAAAAAACACAACCACCCAAGCUUUGUCCCUCAAACGGGAUUGAAGGCCAAAGGCGAAAGGUAUCCCUCCAUGUUGAAAUAAUGGCUGCCGAGGAUGGUAUUCCACCGCCGCGCCGAUUCCGCUGGCAUUUCUUCCCGUACCAACCAGCGCCGCAACGAAUCUGUCGGAAACGGCAAACGAACAGACAAGCGCACAAACAUACGCCACUAUUUUUUUCUUUUUUCCCACCGUGCCGCCCUCUCUCCUUCCUCAUCACAAUACAAAAUGCCUCCCUUCACCAUUUUGCAUAUUUGCAUGCCGCCCCGCCUGCCACAAAGGACUAAAGAGCCAUAUGCAAAGCAGUCUGGCAUCCCCUCUUACAUAGCAAUGAGGGGGAACACCGAGCAAAAGAGAGGAAGGGAGGUGGGCUAAAACAUGAUUGGGGGGAGUAAGUACAGGAAGAUGGUGGCGGUGGCGAGGGGGGCAGUCGGGCCACGGGGGAUCUUGUUGGCACUAAAAAGCGGCACGUGCCGUGUUACCACUCCCACUGCGUGAUGACAAAAAGGCGGGCGUGGGAAAAAACCAGCGGCGGGGGAUGCAAGGGAGGGUAGAUCGAGGACGAGGGCAUGUUGGCACUGAGAGGGGGCACGUGUUGCCUGAGGAAGGGGAGGGGGCGAUUUGGGUUGGUAAAAUGCGAGAUUAGAAGGGGGCGUAGCAUGAGUGGUGGCAUUCAACACCGGCGUAUAAAGAGGAACGGGAUCCACACUGAGAGGCCACCUGCAUUAAGAUGCAAGAUGCAAAGUCGAGGCCACUCAGACACAAAUCUCGAACCCUCUCAGGAGAUCAGACUACCUCAAUCUCUGUGACAAAACAUGAUGACUUAAACAGAAAUUACACCCGUCUACAAGCACAUACGUUUGGAUUCCUCAAGCCAAAAAACACUUUGAAAAUGAGUUUGUUUUUUUCCUUGAUACAUUUUGUGAUAUUUAUAUCUACAUAUAAGUUUAUGCGUGUGGGAAAAAUGGUGUCAUUGAAAAGAAGGUUGAGCAAAAACAGUUUAAAAAUGUUUUAUCAUGAUUUGUAAUUAUUGUAAAAGAAUGGAUGAUUCUUACCUCUCGGAAUAAAGCACAAUAAUAACCGUGAACGAAAACACUGCGGGUCCACUAUAUCAUUGAAUUUCAAAAACAUGAUGUUUAUCAUGUACGCAGUUUGGUGUACAACAGUACCGCCUGAUCCGAAGCUCAUGCCGAAACAUUUCGUAAAUUUAAUUGAGCUGACCAAAAUAUUUGACACAUUACAAUACAGUACAGUUUUACACCAUUGCAAACUACCUUCACUGUUUUACCUUUACUGUGACAUGAAAUGUAUAAUGAUAAUGAAUUAAAAUGUUGAAAUGUUUCCU